CAUGCAAGUCGAACGGUAACAGGAAGCAGCUUGCUGCUUCGCUGACGAGUGGCGGACGGGUGAGUAAUGUCUGGGAAACUGCCUGAUGGAGGGGGAUAACUACUGGAAACGGUAGCUAAUACCGCAUAACGUCGCAAGACCAAAGAGGGGGACCUUCGGGCCUCUUGCCAUCAGAUGUGCCCAGAUGGGAUUAGCUAGUAGGUGGGGUAACGGCUCACCUAGGCGACGAUCCCUAGCUGGUCUGAGAGGAUGACCAGCCACACUGGAACUGAGACACGGUCCAGACUCCUACGGGAGGCAGCAGUGGGGAAUAUUGCACAAUGGGCGCAAGCCUGAUGCAGCCAUGCCGCGUGUAUGAAGAAGGCCUUCGGGUUGUAAAGUACUUUCAGCGGGGAGGAAGGCGAUGCGGUUAAUAACCGCGUCGAUUGACGUUACCCGCAGAAGAAGCACCGGCUAACUCCGUGCCAGCAGCCGCGGUAAUACGGAGGGUGCAAGCGUUAAUCGGAAUUACUGGGCGUAAAGCGCACGCAGGCGGUCUGUCAAGUCGGAUGUGAAAUCCCCGGGCUCAACCUGGGAACUGCAUCCGAAACUGGCAGGCUUGAGUCU
rnacentral:rRNA from 1 species